CCUAGUAAGGCCCACCUUCAGGCCAAGAAGGGCCUGAAGGCUGGGGCCUGGGCUGCCAGUCCCGGAAACCAGAGUGGGGACUUGUGGUGCCUCUUCCUAACCCACCCAUGGCCACCCACAGAACAACUGGCAUGCACUUCCUCCCUUCUGAGGUCCAUAAAAGCCCUGGACUCAGCCAGAGCAGGGCAGAGGAUAGCUAGAGGAUGAAGAGGGCAGAGAGAUGAUGGGACAACCAGCUGCAGAAAGGAGUACCCUCUCUGCCGAUAGCUGGAGAUGAUGGGACAACCCACAGAGAGGAGCCACAUUCUCUGCUGAUAGCUGCAGCGACAACCUGCUGGCAGAGAGGAACCACCCUCUCCAGGGCUUCCUCUCUGCUGAGAGCUGCAAACAUCAGGAUGACCAGUUGCAGAGAGGAGCUACCUCUCCUGGGCCUCCUCUCUACUGAGAACUGAACACUCGACAGAUGACCUGCCUAGAAGAGGAGCUACCCAAUGCAGGUGUCCUCUGAGCUGUUGUAACACUCAAUAGAGCUCAUCUUCGUCUUGCUCACCCUUCACUUGUCUAUGUCCCUUAUUCUUCCUGGACGCAGGACAAGAGCUCAUGCAAAGGCACCGUGACCACAGAGGUUUCCAGCCAGAAAAUUGACACCUCAAAGGUCCUGUAACAAAGAGACAGUCACCAAAGCUGGGACAGCAGCAGGCAUGGGGCACCACAGGACCCCAAAACCAGUCCUACCAUCCAAAAAGUGCCUUACAAGGUGGAGGGAAGAGCAGGAGACAAGAAAGAAGACCAGAGGGUGUAGCAGACUGGCUGUCCAGUGGCCCACAUAUCCUCACCUCUCAGCUGAGUGUGCAGAACCUGUGACUUGCCUGUAACCAAUGGAAAUGGCAAGUGUCACGGAUGACACCUCCAUGAUCAUGCUCCUUAAGAUUGUAACAUCCACAUGGCUGAGAGUCUCUCUCCCCUGCUGGCUGUGAUGGAGCCCUGGCCCUGUGGUGGAGGCCCACAUGGCAAGGAGCUGUGGGUACCUUCAGCUGGCAACCAGCGGGAAACCAAGACCCUUGGUCCUGAAGUGGGACAGAAUGAAUCCUGCCGAUAUCCACUUGAGCUCCAAAUCAAAUCUUUCUCCAGAUGAGCCUUGAGACGAGGCCACCACUGCAGCUAACACCUUGAAUGUAACAUCCAGCUGCCCUGCAGCUACCCUCCUGACCACAGAGCCCAGGAGACAUGGAGUGUGCAUGCUUUACGCAGCUCAGUUUGUGGUGACAUGGUGUCACGGCAACAGACAAGAAAGCUUCAGGCUCCUGGGAAUCCCAGAGCAGCUGCAGGGCUCCUCCCUGCCCCACACUGAGCAGCCCAGCACUCUCCAGCAGGCCCAUUGCCUGCACCUUGUCAAUGACCCAGAUGGCUGUGCUCUCCAGAACCUACCCGAGCUCCUACAGGCCCCCAGGGUUGGCUGUUUCCUGCUUUGUGCCUGUCAGAAGGGGAACGCUGUGCUCCUAGGAACCUGGAACAGAUUCUCCCUCACAGUCUCAGAAGGAAUCAACCCUGCCAACACCUUGAUGUUGGACUCCCAGCCUCCAGAACUGGAAGACAUACAUUUCUGUUGUUGAAGCCCCUAGUCUGUGGUACUUUAUUAUGGCAGCCCUCCCAAACAAAUCCAGAGAUGAGGCCCAGGACCUGCGGGCAGAGCUAACACAGGGAGGCUGACUUCCGGCCAUGAGGAGCCCCAGGCCAGGCCUGUCAUCCAGGCGGCCCCCACCACAUCCACUCACCACCCUGCAUGCCCUUGUGGCCCAUUAUGCUAACUGUUCCUGGGAACUACUGAAAAUUUGAUGCAGAAAAUCCACUCAUUUUCCUAACUGUUCAAAAACAUGGUCCUGAAUGUCUAUUUUAGCCCAGGUA
rnacentral:lncRNA from 1 species